rnacentral:rRNA from 1 species
UACGGGGGGGGCAAGCGUUGUUCGGAAUUACUGGGCGUAAAGGGCUCGUAGGUGGCCAACUAAGUCAGACGUGAAAUCCCUCGGCUUAACCGGGGAACUGCGUCUGAUACUGGAUGGCUUGAGUUCGGGAGAGGGAUGCGGAAUUCCAGGUGUAGCGGUGAAAUGCGUAGAUAUCUGGAGGAACACCGGUGGCGAAGGCGGCUCACUGGCCCGAUACUGACGCUGAGGUGCGAAAGCGUGGGGAGCAAACAGG